rnacentral:rRNA from 1 species
AACGAACGCUGGCGGCAUGCCUAACACAUGCAAGUCGAACGAGACCUUCGGGUCUAGUGGCGCACGGGUGCGUAACGCGUGGGAACCUGCCCUUAGGUUCGGAAUAACUCCCCGAAAGGGGUGCUAAUACCGGAUAAUGUCUUCGGACCAAAGAUUUAUCGCCUAUGGAUGGGCCCGCGUUGGAUUAGCUAGUUGGUAGGGUAAAAGCCUACCAAGGCGACGAUCCAUAGCUGGUCUGAGAGGAUGAUCAGCCACACUGGGACUGAGACACGGCCCAGACUCCUACGGGAGGCAGCAGUGGGGAAUAUUGGACAAUGGGCGAAAGCCUGAUCCAGCAAGGCCGCGUGAGUGAUGAAGGCCUUAGGGUUGUAAAGCUCUUUUACCCGGGAUGAUAAUGACAGUACCGGGAGAAUGAGCUCCGGCUAACUCCGUG